UUGGAGGGCAAGUCUGGUGCCAGCAGCCGCGGUAAUUCCAGCUCCAAUAGCGUAUAUUAAAGUUGUUGCAGUUAAAAAGCUCGUAGUUGAAUUUCGGGAUUAGCAGGUCGGUCGUGCCACUGGUACGUACUGGUCUUGCUGAUUCCUCCCUCUUGACGAGCCGUAAUGCCAUUAAUUUGGUGUUGCGGGGAAUCAGGACUGUUACUUUGAAAAAAUUAGAGUGUUUAAAGCAGGCAUGCGCUUGAAUACAUUAGCAUGGAAUAAUGAAAUAGGACGUUCGAUCUUAUUUUGUUGGUUUCUAGGAUUGACGUAAUGAUUAAUAGGGAUAGUUGGGGGCAUUAGUAUUCAAUUGUCAGAGGUGAAAUUCUUGGAUUUAUUGAAGACUAACUACUGCGAAAGCAUUUGCCAAGGAUGCUUUCAUUAAUCAAGAACGAAAGUUAGGGGAUCGAAGACGAUCAGAUACCGUCGUAGUCUUAACCAUAAACUAUGCCGACUAGGGAUCGGAUGAUGUUAAUUUUUUAAUGACUCAUUCGGCGCCUUACGGGAAAC
rnacentral:rRNA from 1 species